rnacentral:rRNA from 1 species
ACUCAAAUGAAUUGACGGGAGAGCGCACAACCAGUGGAUCAUGUUGUUCAAUUCGAUACGAACCGAAGAACCUCACCCAGACUUGACAUGCAACUGCAAGCCUUAGGAAACUUUGGCCUUCUUCGAGAGUGUUGCACAGGUGUUGCAUGGCUAUCGUCAGCUCGUGCCGUAGGGUGUCCUCUUAAGUGAGGGAACGAGCGCAACCCCCAUCAUAUGUUAAAUAUUCAUAUGAGACUGCCUUGCUUAUUGGUAAGGAGGAAGGAGGGGAUGAUGUUAAGUCAGCAUGGCCCUUAUGUCUGGGGCUACAAACAUGAUACAAUGGGGAGGACAAUGGGUUGCCAAGCCGCGAGGCGGAGCUAAUCCCUUAAACCUCCUCUCAGUUGGGAUUGCAGGCUGCAACUCGCCUGCAUGAACCCGGAAUUGGUAGUAAUCGCGGGUCAGCUAUACCGCGGUGAAUACGUUCUCGCUCUUUGUACACACCGCCCGU